rnacentral:rRNA from 1 species
UACGGGGGGGGCAAGCGUUGUUCGGAAUUACUGGGCGUAAAGGGCUCGUAGGUGGCCAACUAAGUCAGACGUGAAAUCCCUCAGCUUAACUGGGGAACUGCGUCUGAUACUGGAUGGCUUGAGAUUGGGAGAGGGAUGCGGAAUUCCAGGUGUAGCGGUGAAAUGCGUAGAUAUCUGGAGGAACACCGGUGGCGAAGGCGGGUCUCUGGGCCGAUACUGACGCUGAGGAGCGAAAGCGUGGGGAGCGAACAGG